rnacentral:lncRNA from 1 species
CAGUCUAACUGUGGUAGGAACGUGUGAUGCACUUGGAUAUCCAAUUUUGAGUGCCAGCACGGGUAGUGCCGCUAUAUAGUACAAUGCUUCUUUCCCUUUUCCAUCGUCCUACCUUAUUUGUUUCUCUUUGUUUUUCUCUUUUUAUUUAGUAUAUAUCUCUUUUUCUUAGUACUAGAUCUUUUCUCCUUCAUUUCCUUCUGUUCACAUGCCAUCGUAUCUUCUUUUAUACUCCUUUGUGUUUUUCUCUUUCUUUUCUCCUUUUCUCCACAUUCAUUGUACCCUUCUUGCUCCUGGCCCUACUAUAUAUUGUGAAUAACGGCGGAUAAACGACGAAGAAUACAAGAUCAAAACACAGCGGAAACACAAGAUUUAACGUGGAAAACCCCUUCAAUGCGAAGGGGAAAAAACCACAGGCGUCAACCAGCAAACACUCCUCACUAUUAUCAAGAAUUGGGUUACAACGCUGUGCGGCGGCUUACAAGAUCAUCUAUUCGGUGGAACCU